ACUCCUGCGGGAGGCAGCAGUGGGGAAUAUUGCACAACGGGCGCAAGCCUGAUGCAGCCAUGCCGCGUGUAUGAAGAAGGCCUUCGGGUUGUAAAGUACUUUCAGCGGGGAGGAAGGCAAUACGGUUAAUAACCGUGUUGAUUGACGUUACCCGCAGAAGAAGCACCGGCUAACUCCGUGCCAGCAGCCGCGGUAAUACGGAGGGUGCAAGCGUUAAUCGGAAUUACUGGGCGUAAAGCGCACGCAGGCGGUCUGUCAAGUCGGAUGUGAAAUCCCCGGGCUCAACCUGGGAACUGCAUUCGAAACUGGCAGGCUUGAGUGUUGUAGAGGGGGGUAGAAUUCCAGGUGUAGCGGUGAAAUGCGUAGAGAUCUGGAGGAAUACCGGUGGCGAAGGCGGCCCCCUGGACAAAGACUGACGCUCAGGUGCGAAAGCGUGAGGAGCAAACAGGAUUAGAAACCCUGGUAGUCCCAUGA
rnacentral:rRNA from 1 species